rnacentral:rRNA from 1 species
UACGUAGGGGGCAAGCGUUGUCCGGAUUUAUUGGGCGUAAAGAGCGUGUAGGCGGCUUUACAGGUCCGUUGUGAAAACUCGAGGCUCAACCUCGAGACGCCGGUGGAAACCGUAAAGCUAGAGUCCGGAAGAGGAGAGUGGAAUUCCUGGUGUAGCGGUGAAAUGCGCAGAUAUCAGGAGGAACACCCGUGGCGAAAGCGGCUCUCUGGGCCUUACCUGACGCUGAGGAGCGAAAGCGUGGGGAGCGAACAGG